rnacentral:tRNA from 1 species
GAGGGUAUAGCUCAGUGGUAGAGCACAUGCUUAGCAUGCACAAGGUCCUGGGUUCAAUCCCCAGUACCCCCA